UACGUAGGGGGCUAGCGUUGUCCGGAAUUAUUGGGCGUAAAGGGUAGGUAGGUGGUCUCAUUUGUCAGGGGUGAAAGCCUUGGGCUUAACCUAAGAAGUGCCCCUGAAACGGUGAGACUGGAGUCCUGGAGAGGGUCGUGGAAUUCCCGGUGUAGCGGUGAAAUGCGCAGAUAUCGGGAGGAACACCAAUGGCGAAGGCAGCUCGCUGGGACGUGACUGACGCUGAGACGCGAAAGCGUGGGGAGCAAACAGG
rnacentral:rRNA from 1 species